rnacentral:rRNA from 1 species
UUUUACGGAGAGUUUGAUCCUGGCUCAGGAUGAACGCUGGCGGCGUGCUUAACACAUGCAAGUCGAACGGUGAAGCAGAGCUUGCUCUGUGGAUCAGUGGCGAACGGGUGAGUAACACGUGAGCAACCUGCCCCGGACUCUGGGAUAAGCGCUGGAAACGGCGUCUAAUACCGGAUACGAGAUUCCACCGCAUGGUGAGUUUCUGGAAAGAUUUUUUGGUCUGGGAUGGGCUCACGGCCUAUCAGCUUGUUGGUGAG